AUGGAAACAGUUUAUAGUAUUCGAGUUUCUUAUGAUACUCCCACUAUUUCGAACGAGAAGAAUUUUGCUUAUGUGGAGAGUAAUAAAAUUUCUAUGCUUGUAGAUCAUGAAAAGAAUGCUUUAUGUGAUAGUUAUAUUGUUGAAUUCAUUCAAGAAUCUACUGAAAAUUAUUAUGAGGGAGGAAUAUAUGCUUGUAGGAAUUGCAAUAAUAUCAAGUUUCCUCUCUAUGUGCAUAAAGUUUUGAAGUUAUGCUUGUUUUGCCUUCCUAUGCUAGUUACUUAUUGUUCCCAUAAGUUGUUUGCUCACAAAAUCCCUAUGCAUAGGAAGUGGGUUAGACUUAAAUGUGCUAUUCAUAUUCUUCAUGAUGCUAUCUUUUCAAUUCUUAUCUUUUAUGUGAGCAUCAUUGAAAUCAUCAUGCCUAGCUAG
rnacentral:rRNA from 1 species